rnacentral:lncRNA from 1 species
CCUGUGUCCAUGUGAUCUCAUUGUUCAAUUCGCACCUAUGAGUGAGAAUAUGUGGUGUUUGGUUUUUUGUUCUUGCGAUAGUUUACUGAGAAUGAUGAUUUUUAAAGGUAAUCUAAUGAGAAAGAAUAGAAAAUCCUGUUAAUAAUUACAGAACAUUUAGAAAGGAUAUACCAUAGUCUUCCAUUUUAAAGUCUAAGUUUGUUUGGUCUAGGGUGCCAGAGAAAGGAGGGGCACAGAAGACAGAAAAGGGAGGAAUCUGAAUUGUACGUUACUAUUUAUAAAUCUAUACAUGAGUAUGGAGAGAGAAGUGGCCAUAAAAUCCUGAACAGCAAUUCAUGUUAAAGCUACAUUACUUGAGUUUUGGAUCCCCUAUAGCUAUAAAGACAACUUGAAGAACACUUCUGUAUUUGAGUGUAGACAGCUUCUACUUGCCCACUUUUCCUUCCCUAUCUUUCUUUCCUUUCCUCCUCUGCCUCUGUCCUUCCCUUCUUUCCUUUCUUCCUCCUUCCCUCCCUUCCCAUUCUUUCUUCUUUAAAUCAGAAUAUACUGCAAAGAGUCUUUCUCUUUGUUGGAAGUAUUAAAUAUAUUCCUGGAAAGAGUCAUCUUAUUUUGGUAUAGAUGGGUUUGAGAAACUAAAUGAAAUCAAAUAUCAACAUCAUAGCCAAAAAUUGUGCCACUGAAGUGGGAACUGUUGCCAAAGUCUACGGGGUGAUCAUAUUCUCUUGCUUUUCUAGUUUCAAGUAUAAUUACAUUUUAGUGAAAAGCAUUAAUUUAGACAGCAAGAGAAACCCUGCUUAUAUUGUCAUUUUAAGUGAGGUCCACAGAAAACAACUUUUAAACUGUGUCUUUUAAAUAAUCUAAUCAAAAUUUAAAAUUGCCAGCCUGGUUCUUUGAGCUGACAAGCUAUGCAUACAAUUGAGAUACCAGGAUUUGAUAUCUUCCCUCUCACAUGACUUUUGAAUAGUGUGGAUUUGUUUGACCUUCUGAUGUCACAUUAGAAGGACACUUUCUCAGUGAGAAAAUAAUUCUUUUUACGGUUCAUCUUUUCAAGGUGAUAGAAUAUGUAUAUAGUCAAGUGUUUUUUGUAAAUGAAAUAUUCAUUUGUGUUUCUAGAUGUAGACAUAAAAUGGACUCCAAAUUUUAGUAUUUCAAAAUAAAUAUAAGCCUAUAAAUUAAAAGUAGUAUUUUAAACAGGUAAAACAAUUUUUAUGAUGAUUUAUGCAGAUAGUCUAUAUCAACAUAAACUAAAUAUCUGGAUAUAAGUCUAAAAACCUAAGAUCAGUAUUUCUACAAAGAAGGUACACUAAUUACACGUUUAGGUUUUUAUUGUUAAUAUUCAUACACAAUUUUCUUUACAAUUUGAGCUGGAAUUUUAAAAACAAUACUAGUCUAGAGAUAUGAAACCAAUAACAGACAAUACAAAAUUACUUUCCUAAAAAUAAAAUAGAUUAUUUAGCAUGAAAAGUAUAUCAAGUACUAAAAUAUGAAAUGGCAAUAUAUUGUAUUGACAUAUAGAUUGAAAACUAUAAAGCAUAUAUAUAUAUAUAUAUAUAUAUAUAUAUAUACACACACACACACACACACACACUUAUUUUAAAAGGCACAAACAAGAGCAAGAGAGUUAGUGCUAAUUAAUAAACUAAAUCUAGAUAUCUACGCCUGAGCUGUUUCCCAUGUUGCAUCUCCUUAUUUUGAACUGCCUCCCAUAUUUCUUCACCAUAAGAUGUGUAGGCACACAAAAGUGUAACAUGUCCAAAGACUGAACUCAUUAGCUUUUCCAGUCAGCUGCCUCUCUCCAGGCCUUCUGCAUCUUUGCAAUUCCCUAGUUCAGUUAAUGCCCUCAUAGCCACCUCAAGAUUAAGCUAAAAAAAAAAAAAAAAAAAAAAAAAAAAACACUUGAGGCUGUCCUUAACCCCUCCAUCUCCCUUACCUCCCAUGUUAACUUAACUCAUAAUCUUUAUAUGGCCUUUUCUUUUCACCUCUAUUGCCAUAACCUUGUUUGAAUCCUUGCAGUCUUUCAUCUUUACUACUGCUACAUUCUCUCUUUCAACAGCUAGUCCCCACUGCCUCUCACCCUCCACAGUCUCCAGCUUUAUAUUCCUUAAAAAAAGAAAAAAAAAAAAGGUCAGGUUACUUUUCCCUUCUAUGAAAAGCUCUCUACAGGACCACUCUUUUCAAUACUAAUUAAAGAACAAACUAUUUAGUUUGACACAGAAGACAUUCUCAUUCUGAAACCCCAAGCUGGCCACUUACUGCUAGCUACUCCACCCAUUCUCUAAGGGUUCUAUUUCCAUUCAAUUUGUAGCAUUUUCAAAAGCACACACAUCUUAAUAUCACUUUAAGCCUUUACACAUGCCAAACAUUAAUGGGUAAAUGAGUGUACUAAUGAUUUCAAGUGUAAUUCCAAGUAACCUUGAAAACAAGCCAUAUUUGGUACCCAGAGCUUUAUGAGACGGUGUUUCUAAUAGUGAACUUUAAUAGGUAAUAAGAUUGUUAAUCCAGUUCUCUAUAGACAGCAGUAGAAGAAAACAAGAUGAAACCAAAGGAAAGAGAUUCAAAUUAAUUUUUGGUACGUGGGUUUAUGUUUUGGGCUGAAGAGUUAUUGUCCUAAAUAUAAUUAGUUUUCAUGUGAUUAUAUAACUCUGGUAUUUAACUGAAGCCCAAGUUGUGAAUUUUUACAGGGCUAUUUAUAUGCAUGUAGUUCUAUAUUUUAAUAUAUUGCCAAUAAUAUUCCUUUGUAACCUUAUGAACUAUAUUAUAUUAAUUCAGCAUUUGAAGUUAGUAUUCAAAGAUAUGUGGGCACUCUGGUCAGCAGAUAUUUUAAUUCUUAAUCAGACUUAUGAAUUAUCAAUCAAAAUAUGGUUCAUUAAACCUAAGUAAUAUUACAAAGUUUUAACAAAUAUAACUUUUAGUUAUAUUAAUAUUCAGGUAAUAUCACAAGGAUUUUUAAAAUAUAGCUUUUAUUAGGUUAAGCUAAUGAGGUAAUAUACAAAAUUUUGGUUUGUACUUUUUCAGAGAGAUUUGAAUCACUCUGGAGAUUAAUAUUUAAUCAUGGCUUAUUAAUAAUAAUGAAGAGAGAACAAGAAACGUGCAUUCAUUGAUGUUUGCGUCUUUGAUGCUAAAUGAUUACACAUACCCCAUUUAAAAUUAUUUCAAUAUAUACUUCACUAUUCCAGAUGUACACGAAAUUAUCCUCAAUGUCACUAAAAGCAAGCUUUUCUGUAAUAUUUUUUGCUCCUUAAUAAAAGCAGUUAUCUUAGUAGAAUUGCUGACCUGAUAAUUGCUAGUGGGUCUAAACUGAAUGUACUUCAGUUAAUGCAUCAGUAAGUGAAGUACCUUCAAUGCAAUUAAAAGAUUCUAAUCUAACCAAAGAAAAAAUCUUGCUCAUAUUGACCACUUUAAAUUCAGACUAUGAUUUCAUAUUUUUAAAGUGGCCCAUGGCUUAGCUGACCCCAUUAGUGGGAUACAACUCUCCUUUGGCAUAGCCAGUUGCUGCUGAGUAAGCGUUUCUGAAAGCCUCUCAAUGAACUUCAUCAGACAACUACCAUUACCCAAUUUCAGAAAAGGCAACACUAAAUAAAAAGUCAUCAAGACAUUUAACAUAGAGAAUUAGGAAAACACCAGAUUGAAAUGAAAGCUAAUAAAUAACUUAUCAAGCAACAAUAGUUACUGCAGUUUAAGUGAACUGGGUUUUAACUUUUUUACUUGAUAUUAAUGUUUUUCUGCAAGACAUUAAAUUUGUUCAGGCAUUUGUGACUCGACUUGCUGAAUACUUAGAAUUCUUUAGUUGUCCUCUUGCGAUUAAUUUAGCGAUUGACACUUUUGUGUACCUGCCCACAGAAUUUAAUAUAUGGGGGUCAUGUCUUCCUGAAUGCAGAGCAAUUGCCUCACUCCAUCUCCCACUACUAUUAUGGGGAAUGCAAUUCUCAAAUGAAUAUAGAAAGAAGGCAUGGCAAUGAGUACAUCUAAGGAGUAGUAGCUUUCUUCUAAUUGUUAAAAAUGGACCUUGAAUUUUUAAAUUAGAGAGCAGACAUUGGGAGAAGGAUAAAAAACUUCCUACCCAGAACACAUGGACACAG